GGAACCGCCCUAAUUCAGCUGCUGAGAUGACGAGUGGCGGACGGGUGAGUAAUGCUUGGGAACUUGCCUUUGCGAGGGGGAUAACAGUUGGAAACGACUGCUAAUACCGCAUAAUGUCUUCGGACCAAACGGGGCUUUUAGCUCCGGCGCAAAGAGAGGCCCAAGUGAGAUUAGCUAGUUGGUGAGGUAAAGGCUCACCAAGGCGACGAUCUCUAGCUGUUCUGAGAGGAAGAUCAGCCACACUGGGACUGAGACACGGCCCAGACUCCUACGGGAGGCAGCAGUGGGGAAUAUUGCACAAUGGGGGAAACCCUGAUGCAGCCAUGCCGCGUGUGUGAAGAAGGCCUUCGGGUUGUAAAGCACUUUCAGUUGUGAGGAAAAGUUAGUAGUUAAUACCUGCUAGCCGUGACGUUAACAACAGAAGAAGCACCGGCUAACUCCGUGCCAGCAGCCGCGGUAAUACGGAGGGUGCGAGCGUUAAUCGGAAUUACUGGGCGUAAAGCGCACGCAGGCGGUUUGUUAAGCUAGAUGUGAAAGCCCCGGGCUCAACCUGGGAUGGUCAUUUAGAACUGGCAGACUAGAGUCUUGGAGAGGGGAGUGGAAUUCCAGGUGUAGCGGUGAAAUGCGUAGAUAUCUGGAGGAACAUCAGUGGCGAAGGCGACUCCCUGGCCAAAAGACUGACGCUCAUGUGCGAAAGUGUGGGUAGCGAACAGGAUUAGAUACCCUGGUAGUCCACACCGUAAACGCUGUCUACUAGCUGUGUGUGAUUUUAAAUCGUGCGUAGCGAAGCUAACGCGCUAAGUAGACCGCCUGGGGAGUACGGCCGCAAGGUUAAAACUCAAAUGAAUUGACGGGAGCCCGCACAAGCGGUGGAGCAUGUGGGUUUAAUUCGAUGCAACGCGAAGAACCCUACCUACACUUGACAUGCAGAGAACUUUCUAGAGAUAGAUUGGUGCCUUCUGGGAACUCUG
rnacentral:rRNA from 1 species